rnacentral:rRNA from 1 species
ACCUAGUAGUAUGGGAUAGCCACUAGAAAUGGUGGGUAAUACUGUAUAAUCCCUGCGGGGGAAAGAUUUAUCGCUAUUAGAUGAGCCUAUGUCAGAUUAGCUAGUUGGUGGGGUAAUGGCCUACCAAGGCGGUGAUCUGUAGCUGGUCUGAGAGGAUGAUCAGCCACACUGGAACUGAGACACGGUCCAGACUCCUACGGGAGGCAGCAGUGGGGAAUAUUGGACAAUGGGCGCAAGCCUGAUCCAGCUAUGCCGCGUGAGUGAGGAAGGCCUUAGGGUUGUAAAACUCUUUCAGUAGGGAAGAUAAUGACGGUACCUACAGAAGAAGUCCCGGCAAACUCCGUGCCAGCAGCCGCGGUAAUACGGAGGGGGCAAGCGUUGUUCGGAAUUAUUGGGCGUAAAGGGCAUGUAGGCGGUUUGGUAAGUUAAAGGUGAAAUACCAGGGCUUAACCCUGGAGCUGCUUUUAAUACUGCCGGACUAGAGUCCGGAAGAGGAU